rnacentral:rRNA from 1 species
CCUACGGGAGGCAGCAGUGAGGAAUAUUGGUCAAUGGACGAGCGUCUGAACCAGCCAAGUAGCGUGAAGGAUGACUGCCCUAUGGGUUGUAAACUUCUUUUGUAUGGGAAUAACACAGGGUACGCAUACCCUCUCGUAUGUUCCAUAUGAAUAAGGAUUGGCUAACUGCUUGCCAGCAGCCGCGGUAAUACGGAGGAACCGAGCGUUAUCCGGAUUUAUUGGGUUUAAAGGGAGAGUAGGUGGAUAGUUAAGUCAGUGGGGAAAGUUUGCGGGUCAACCGUAACAUUGCAGUUGAAACUGGCAGUCUUGAGUAGAGUAGAGGUGGGCGGAAUGCGUGGUGUAGCGGUGAAAUGCUUAGAUAUCACGCAGAACUCCGAUUGCGAAGGCAGCACACUGGACUGCAACUGACGCUGAUGCUCGAAAGUGUGGGUAUCGAACAGGAUUAGAUACCCGAGUAGUC